rnacentral:rRNA from 1 species
AAACCGGAGCUAAUACCGGAUAAUAUUUCGAACCGCAUGGUUCGAUAGUGAAAGAUGGUUUUGCUAUCACUUAUAGAUGGACCCGCGCCGUAUUAGCUAGUUGGUAAGGUAACGGCUUACCAAGGCGACGAUACGUAGCCGACCUGAGAGGGUGAUCGGCCACACUGGAACUGAGACACGGUCCAG